rnacentral:rRNA from 1 species
CAAUAGCGUAUACUAAAGUUGUUGCAGUUAAAAAGACUCGUAGUUGGAUUUCUGGUUGUGAGAUUCGGUCUGCUUCGUAAGGAGUAUGUACUAGAAUUUCAUGUCCAUCCUCGGAGUAUUGUUAUAUGGGAUUAAUUUUUCGUGUAAUGAUCUCCGUACAUUUACUGUGAGUAAACUAGAGUGUUCAAAGCAGGCUUAGGCCGUUGAAUACAUUAGCAUGGAAUAAUAAGAUAAGACCUUGGUCUAUUUUGUUGGUUAUUUUCCAAGGUAAUGAUUAAUAGGGAUAGUUGGGGGCAUUCGUAUUUAACUGUCAGAGGUGAAAAUUCUUGGAUUUGUUAAAGACGGACUACUGCGAAAGCAUUUGCCAAGGAUGUUUUCAUUGAUC